AGUGAACGCUGGCGGUAGGCCUAACACAUGCAAGUCGAACGGCAGCACAGUAAGAGCUUGCUCUUACGGGUGGCGAGUGGCGGACGGGUGAGGAAUACAUCGGAAUCUACUUUUUCGUGGGGGAUAACGUAGGGAAACUUACGCUAAUACCGCAUACGACCUACGGGUGAAAGCAGGGGAUCUUCGGACCUUGCGCGAUUGAAUUAGCCGAUGUCGGAUUAGCUAGUUGGCGGGGUAAAGGCCCACCAAGGCGACGAUCCGUAGCUGGUCUGAGAGGAUGAUCAGCGACACUGGAACUGAGACACGGUCCAGACUCCUACGGGAGGCAGCAGUGGGGAAUAUUGGACAAUGGGCGCAAGCCUGAUCCAGCCAGACCGCGUGGGUGAAGAAGGCCUUCGGGUUGUAAAGCCCUUUUGUUGGGAAAGAAAAGCAGCAGGUUAAUACCCCGCUGUUCUGACGGUACCGAAAGAAUAAGCACCGGCUAACUUCGUG
rnacentral:rRNA from 1 species